UACGGAGGGGGCAAGCGUUGUUCGGAAUUACUGGGCGUAAAGGGCGCGCAGGCGGCUGCUCAAGUCAGGCGUGAAAGGCCUGGGCUCAACCCGGGAAUUGCGCUUGAGACUGGGCUGGCUUGAGUGCGGGAGAGGAUGGUGGAAUUCCCAGUGUAGAGGUGAAAUUCGUAGAUAUUGGGAAGAACACCGGUGGCGAAGGCGGCAUCCUGGACCAUAACUGACACUGAUAAGCGAAAGCCAGGGGAGCAAACGGG
rnacentral:rRNA from 1 species